rnacentral:lncRNA from 1 species
UGACAGCAGGCUGGAGCUGCCUUUGCUAUGCAGAUGUGCGAGUUUGUGCUAAGCUGCUGACUCCCUGAAGGAAGGAGGAUCUCCAUUCUCACACCAGAGUGUCAAACAAAGCCAUCAGCCAUCGGUUCAGCUUCUCUCUCUGGCCUCAUAUUUAUCUGUUUAAACAAAAUGGACCAACUUCAGAGUGCCUGCUCAGGAGACAGCCAGGGGACCAAAUGUGCAGUGGCAGCCGUGCUUGGAAUGUUUAUGGCAGAAAAUUUAUGUCUGACUAAUAUCUGUUGCUGAUAGAUCCGGUCAAACAUCCCUCAAAAGGUGAGAUUUGCUGGCUUGGGUGAUCCCUGACCAACCCCUCAUCCCACGGCACAGGAACCACUGUUCCAGUUCUCCAGCUCUAAAGAGAAGC